rnacentral:lncRNA from 1 species
CACCGUCCUCCCCCACCUCCCGAUCAAGCCAUCCAGCCGCCUCUCCUCGCCCUCCUGCCUGCGCGCAUCUCUCUAGAGCUUAAACUCUCCUAGAGAGAUCUCAGGCAGCCCCAAUAACCAACCGCUCGACCCAACUCGUCGUCGUCGUCGUCGCAGAUGGCCGGCCUCAGGAUGAAGCUCGUCGCCGCCGCCGCCGUGGCCGCCGCGCUCGUGGCGUCCGCCGCCGCCCAGGCCCCCGCGCCAGCGCCCACCUCCGACGCCUCGGCCGCGGUGCCCCUCGCGGCGGCGUCCUUCGCCGCCGCCGCCUUCGGCUACCUCUUCUGCUAGAUCCGUCGUCCGGGGAUGCCGUCGUGCUCCCUGGCCGGUCGGGCCUGCUGAUGAUGAUAUGAUUCGUUUUGGCGUGAGUCGAGUCCCCUGUUCGUGGCGCGUGUUGAGGGAUGUCGGUGGGCGUGUGUAUGUACGAGUCGGCGGCGGGUGGAGGUGUGCGCGCGUGGUUGGAUACGUGCGUCGACGCACCACUCUUUGUGGUGGAGAUCAUGUACCCGCUGCGCUUCUGUUUAUCAAUGAGAUGAUUUAUUUGAUUCUUUUCAUCUUAUAUACAAUAUACAUGAGAAUUGCGUAUUCAGUUUGUUGUGUUUUGCUCUGCAAACUUGCGAUGUGCAGAUUGUUGUAAAACACUGUCGAACGAUUCUCCCUCAAUCGAGUUCUUCCGUUACAAAGAAAAAGAAAACGGUGCAUCUCUCUUAAAAAAACGAUUACUAUUCUUACGACCUGAAAAUUAAGGGGUGCAGGCUACAGUUCAAAGAUGUAAUUGGAAUCUGAAAUCGAUUUGACCGACUAAGGAACCCACCAUCUGAAUUCUAAGCAAAACGACCGGCAUAACGACUUUCAUUUAUGACCAACCAAUUCAGAAUUGACAAGCUUUAUUUUUCCUCCCUCCCUCGAAAAGAAUGCUGUGGCACGGAGUCCUCGUGAAGUUCGUUAGGAGAUGCCGGGCCGGGGUUGCUUAAUUAGUUUGGUGAGGGAUCCGAACGUUGAAAUGAUUGAAGCAUGUUGGCGUCGCCACUUGCCAGCCAAGAAGCCAUGUGCUGCUCGUUAAGCACUGGUCCACAGAUGAGUUGUCUUGGUAGGGGCAGCCGUACCCGCUGUAUCAGCGCUGGCAUGCUCCAAGCUGGAAAUGGUGAGCCGUCGCAAUCGCUGCAGUAUUACCCGACUAAUAUGUGCUUUAUGGAAUUGCAGGACUGCUUAAUUUUGACCGUGCUCGUGGAUUUAGAUGCUGGUCGAUGGCUCCAGCUCGAUGCCUUUUCCUACUGUACUGGCUACUGCCGACCGAGAGUCUCAGAGCGUGCAGAAUGCAGGUCGAGUUCCGCAAAGUUGUUGGCGUACACAGCUGGGGAUUGGGCCAGUGCCAGCUCUACACACCACUGGGCCACCUUUGUGUUUUCUCCGGCCUGCUUGAAAAUGUAUUGGGCCAGUUUGUUGGGCCGCUUACUUACAUCUGUGCUCAGCUAAAUCCAGCGAGAACAAUGGAAGAGUUUUUGGCUCUAUACAACAAAUCUUUUGGUUUUUUCCCCCCCUUUCUUUUUCAUCCACAUAAGACACCCACGAUGGCGUUUAUAUUUGUAAGAUAACUGAGUUGCAUUUUUAAGUGCCUCAUUUCUGGAUUAUCGGGCAGCUUCUGAAAGGAAGCUCCAAUUAUAGUAGACGAAGUAGAAGGUUUUUUUUUCGAUUCAAGACCUGGAACGUAGGUAGCUAGAGUCUACGCACUGCAGUUACAUACUGACAAAUUGCAAUGGCGAGUCGGCGACCGACAAGCAGAGGCCAGGCACAGCUGCGUCACAUGAACUCGCUCAUCAUGGCGAGCACCUGCGCCAUCGUGGGCCUCUCCUCCGGCGCCUCGGCGGUGCACAGCACGCCGAUCUUCACCAUCCCCAUCGUCUCCUCCCCUUCGCCGCCUUCCUCGCCGUCGGCGGCCUUGUGGUCCGUCACCACCUCCAGGAGCACCAUCCCGAAGCUGUACACGUCGGACUCCUGCGUCGCCCUCGCGCCCGCGCCCGACGCCAGCUCCGGCGCCGCGUACCCGUGCCACCCGACGCUCGCCGCUGGCGGGGCCGCCGACGACGUCGCGGUCGCCGCCCGGCCCAGGAACAGGUCCGGCGGGCACCGAGCGGCCUGCGGGACGACGGACUGCUGGAUGUUUGUGGCGUAGCGCAUGAGCCCGCACUCGGACACGCACGCGCCGCCGCGCUCGUCCAGGAGGAUGUUGGACGGCUUCACGUUCGCGUGCACAAGCGCCGGCCGCGCCGGGAACGUGUGGAUGUAGUUCAGGCCCUGCGCCGCGCCGAACAGUAUGCUCUUCCUCCCCGCCCAGUCCAGGCUCCUCGCGCCACCACCUGCAGCAACAACAACGGCCCGUCAGGAACACUCGCUUUCUUGCACCGACUGCAAAUUGGCAAUGCAUUUGGGAUUUCAUUAUCUCAUUUCAGCGCGACGACGCACCACUGGCUUGCAGAAGGGACUGGAGGCUCCCGUUGGGGAGGAAGUCGUAGACGAGGAGGCGCUCGCCGUUGGAGUUGCAGUACCCCCUGAGGCUGACGACGUGCCGGUGGCGGAGCCGGCCGACGAGCCGCAUGUGGCGGUCGAACGCCUUGCUCCGGCUGGCGGGGAACUGCAGCGCGCUCAGGCGCUUGACGGCCACCACGAUGCCGUCGUCGAGCACCGCCUUGUAGGUGCUCCCGGACACGCCCUUGCCGAGCACCUCGGCGGACGCCUUGAGGAGGCUCUCCAGCCGCAGCUCCUCGCCGCCCUCGAAGCAGACCAACCCGCCGCUCUUCUGGCACUUGUCGUCCCCGUUCGCCCUCUUCUCUUGCUCCUCGAAGCAGAGUGCCGCGUCGGAGGCGUCCUUCGCCGACCGGAGCUUCCUCCUCAUGUAGACGAACAUGGCCACGGAGAUGGCUAGCGAGACCGUGAUGAGCACUGCGUUGCCAAUGCCGGUGGCCAUGAGUGCAGUCAAGCUAAGCUUACUGAAACCUCCAUUGCUGGAACUGGAAGGCACACUACCACUAACGUUCACUGCAGCACCAGGAGAUUGAGCAGCGAUACUGGUGGUAGCAUUGGAAGAACUAUCCGAUCCUAACGCAUUAUAAGCACGAACACAUCUUGGCAGAGGCGUGCCACAGAGAGCGAGAUUGCCGCCGAAAGCCGACCUCGGGAACCUGGACAGAUCGCCGGAGAUCUCCCCAGCGAGCUUGUUCCCGGACACGUUCAAGCUCCUGAGCGACGGGGCGCGCAGCGCCUCCAGGCCUCCACGGAAGCCAUUGUGCUCCGCUCUAAGCGUGAGCAGAGCACCCAGCGAGAUGUUCAGGCUCCCGGUGAGCCGGUUGCGGGCGACGAGCAGGUGCCGCAGCCACGGGCUCGCCGUGGCGUCGUCCAGCGGGGGGAGGGCGCCGGACAGGGAGUUGUUCCUGACGGCGAGCGCCCUGAUAUGGCUGAGCCGCAGGAGCGGCGCCACCUCGCCGGCCAGCGAGGCGCCGUCGAGGAAGACCCCCACCACCCUGCCCCUGGAGCACCUGAUCCCGAACCACGUGCUGGAGCACGGGUUGGGGCCGUGCCAGGUCGCCAGGGCCGUGGCGUUCGGGUUGUAGGACUUGAAGGAGAGCAGCGCGGGCAGGUCCUGGUGGCCGCCAUUGCCGACCUCUCCGUGCACAGAAGGUACCGAUAGGUGGUAGACGAGGACGGCGAGGAGCAGGAAGGUGGAAUGGUGGAAACGAGGCAUUUUGGUAGCUGUAAGAAUUUUCUUCUGUGUUUGACCGAGAAAUCUAUCCACUCGUUUUAUAGCACGGGCCGGUAACAAUUCAGCGCGGGGAAGUAGAAAAUUUUGAAUGGCGCACGAGCACAAAGGCGUGGAACGACGACGAGCAGAGGGGUCCAAAGAGGAAAGCUGGGUACCUGCGCCGACGUCGUGGGUGGGUGUCGAUGCUGAGGUCGUGGGGAGGAGGGUGGAGGUGAAAAGCGGCGCCAUGGAGGACAGGAGGAGAGGUCCAAGGGGAUGGGGAGCUGACGAGGUGCCCUUUUUCCUCCCUUGGGCAGAAGGAACUUGGACGUAUCUGGUGGGCUGCACGUAGCCGUGAUGGUCGUCGCGCCGGGGAGAUGCUGGUGCUCGCUUCGCUUUACGGAAGCGGCCGAAAGGAAGCAAGAGGGCUCGGGGUUCCACGGCGCGUGGUGGAGUAUCGGGUUCACGAGACGAGACGGGAGUAGCGAGUGGGGACGUUGGCGUCAGGUGGCGCCACGCACCGGUAGGGGAGCAGACAGGAAUGGAUUCCAGCUUCACGUUGCACUAGUCCCCCAGAGUCACAGUGAACCCGGAACACUGAACUGGGUUCAGGUGUCGGGGCAUCUAUUGUUGGGUCCGUUCGUGCUGUGGGCCGAGCCAGGUCUUGCCACCCGAUCCAGCCCAGUAACCGGAGUAGCCAAGAUUUUGUUGGGGCGUCGGGUUCAAACUUCAAAUUGGCAGGUGGAGACGCUUCCAAACGGGUUCAUAGUGAGUCAUUGCUACUGGUACUACGGAGGACUAGGAAGGUUAAUUAUCAUUAUGAACAGUGUUAGUUAGCACCGUCGUCUGAAUGAAAGGUCAUGACAUGCUCGUGAAACCUCGAUUCUAAUGUAUGCGCGCAGUUUUUGGUAUAUCAACUCAGAACUCGACUGGUGGUGUGGUGAGCACAAAAAUGCAUCUUGUUUUUUUUUUCCCACUAAGGGCUACGUCCAAAUUUCAUUACUGUUUAGGCAAUGAAAUUACAGAGUAUGAGAGUUGUCGACACCAUGGUCACACCAGAGAUUACAAAAGCAUCUCCAGGAGGACAGGUGCAGACGGCCUUUCCACCUGGGAGGAAUAAAGCGAGCCUACUUAUUACAUGACACAGAACUAACAGCAUGCUAAACAUCUCACAGCCAACCAAACUAGGAACAUUUCUCAACCAGCCUCCAAAGUUGCUUUGAGCAUCACACUGUAUCCAGACUUCCUGGCUUGAUUUGGGACAGCACUUCUUCUCUUUUUUACUGCAGCAGUACCAUCCCUGUGUCGUCGGUUGUUGCUUCACGGGGGUGAAAGUGCAACGCCGUCGCCUUCAUUGCAUCAGCGCCAGCCUCCAGGAUCGUCCUCCCCUCCGGCUUAUGAAGACCUGCUCAAUAUGAAAUGAAAACAGAUGCUGAACAUAUAAUCUCUGAAGGAGAUUUGACCUAUUUUUUAUCAAAGCAAGCAGCAUUUCUAGCUUUCCAGAGUGCCCAGCAGACCGCUGACAGCCCCACCACAUGGAUGUUUUUGUUUUGUGACAUAUACUAUCUAGUCCAUUCCCAAAAUUGGGCAAAGGUAGUUGGUCUACAUGGAGCACCAAUUACCAUGGCAAUAAGGCUCCAUACAUACCUAGCCAAGGCAUAUCCAAAGAAAAGGUGUUUCGAUGUUUUCUUCCAUAUGACAGAAACAACAGCUUUUGUCCCCCUGCCAGUUGCGUUUUAUAAGGUUGUCUUUAGUCAGAAUAGCAUCUUUUUGGAUUAACCACAUAAAGAUUUUUAUCUUCAAAGGGAUUUUGGCUUUCCAAAUAUUGUCAUGAGGACUGGGUAUAGACUACCGCCUCAUCAUCGACACAUCGAACAACGAUGGCAAGGAUGCCAAGUACGAGGCGGUGGUUCAUGAGAAAAACUGGGGAGACCAAAUCACUCUCUUGUCCUUUAAGCGAGCAGACUCUCAGCAACAAUUGGCAUGAGCAUGUUAAUCACUCUCUUGUCCUUUAAGGAUGCCAAUGAUUUGUAGUAGGGUUGCCACCUUGAUUAAUGCUUAUCACUACUUGCUCUACAACUAUUGCAUUUUGUGUUUACUCCAUUUAGCGUCCUUUCGUUACGCCUUGCUUAAUGCUUAUCACUACUUGCUCUACAACUGCUGCAUUUUGUGUUUACUCCAUUUAGCGUCCUUUUGUUAAUCGUUGAAAUGGCGUGGUAGCUGCUGCGUAAUGCGUAUCAUGUAAUUUGGCAUCUCCAAUAUAAAUGGGAUUUUCAGCCUAAAUAAAAUGUGAUUGGGAAAUUUGGCUUCCCACUUUUGUACAUGAUGCAAACGGUCAUAUACAUGCACACACAAUUACAAAUACACGCACGCUAGUUCGAUCUUCAAGUUUAAUAUAGUUUCAGCUGUUCAAACAUUGGAUUGAACAUGACCGAUCCAUUUGAAAGUAGAUUGCUUUCAAACACAAAACGUGGAUUGCGUUAAAUAUUUUUAUUAGACAUAUUAGGAAUGUAAAAGUCAAAUUUAUAAUAAUUUAACCAAACAUUAGUCAAAUUCUAUAAAUCCUCAGUAUAAAAGUUAUAUGGAUGAAUUCAAAUAUGAAAUAUCUUACUUCUAUACAUCUAAUAGUAUAUUGUAAUAGAAACUAUAUCAGUCAAUAUAUAUCUAUAAAUAUUUUCAAAUCAUCAUGUGCCUACUAAAAACAAACAAAGUUAAUGUUAUGGUUGUGAUUUUAUUGCUACAAAUAUUACUAGUAUUAUAAGAGCAUCUGCAGCAGUCUCCCAAUAAAUAUUUCCCAAUAACUAGUUAAUAGGGAUAUUCCAAUAUCACUUUCAUCGUUAUUGGGAGAGUUGCUUUUGCAGUCUCCCAAUAAUUUCAUCCCAAUCCAACUACCGUAUUGAGAGAGUUACAACUCCUUUAUUUAGGGAGAGUUGGGAUGAAUUAUUGGGUUGUCCCAAUAAUUAUUGGGAAAAGGGAAAGUUAAAGGAAGACUGUUGGAACACUAUUUUCUUAUCAACUCUCUCAAUAUGAUAGUUGGAUUGAGGAAAGGGAGAUUGCUAAAGAUGCUCUAAUAAGCUAUGUAUUCAAAACAAAGUGGUCAUGCGGGUAUUAGAGUUGUGAUCCGAAAUAACGGCAGGAAAAUUCUGUUAUCUGCAUGGCGAGUCAUUUUUUAUGCAGUGAGCGUACAGGAAGUGGAGGCAUUGGCAUGCAAAGAAGGGUGGCCCUUGAAGGGAGCCCGCGAUCUUAGAGUUAGACUGCAGUGCGGUCAUUCACUAAAUCAAGGAAGCGAGUAAGAUGAUACUAGCUAGCAUAAUUUUUCACGGUCUAGAAGGCUAAGCGCCUAGCGGAAAGUCUCCCAUGUCUCGUUUUGAGUCAUGUAAAGAGAUAGCAGAACGUAGUCGCACAUGAGCUUGCGAAGCAAAUCGCAAUGUAGUGUGGUGUGAUCAUCCCCCACUUAUAUGAGCAUUUGAUUGCUCAUGCCUGUAAUUUUUUUUUUGAGCAAUCAAUAAAGCGCUCUCUCUUUUUUUAAAAAAAAUUUGCAAAGAAAGAGACUACGAAUCAAAGUUGGAGAAUGUGACGAGUCAAAGCAUAUUGUGAAAUGGAGGCAGCAAAAUCCUAACGCUUCCUGUCGCAUCGACGUUCGAGCUCUGUGUACUUAAUUGAUUGCCACGUAGAAGCCGAAGAGUGCAGCGUCGAUUCAACUGGCGCGCGUCUAGACCCUAUAAAAGGACGGGGUUUCCAAGGCAGCACUGCACCGAUGCUUGCUCUGCACCAGCAAAGGCAGUCAAACUAACAGUACGCCGGGCACCGGAAGAUCGAUCGACCAGGCAUGUCGCCGCCGCCG